GUAACAGUCCCUCAACUUUACAAAAUGUGACAAAAAACGGUUAAAUUUAAGUUUCAAAUUUUUGCUUAUCAUUAACGAUAAUUGUUCUCGUCUUUUGUUCACUUUCAUCUGUUUAGUAAUUAUUUGAAUCUUGAGCUUCUGAAUUAGAAAACUCAAGAUAUUCCUGAAUCAUUCUUAAUAAUCACUGAAAUAAUUACAACCGGUUUGGGUUAAAGUGAAAGUUGCCCUGUUUUGGCUUGUGAUAAAUCUUCACUUUUCAGCUUCAACUAUCCUAAAUAUGUAACUGAUUUUGAUUAAAGAUGUCUUUUUCAUGGAACAUACCUGAACUUUCCUGAUAAUCAAUGAUUACCUGUUUCCUUAUUAUUUGAUCUACAGGUCAACAACUGACCCGGCAAUAUAUUUGAGAUCUUGAAUCUAAUGAAAAAUUCUGACGGAUGGUUUCAGUCUCUAUCCCUGGUAAAUCAAGAAAGCCAAUCACAAGCACCGUUCACCUUUUUGAAAUCCAAGUCAUUGUUGAAACUGAAUUGUAAAAUUGAAAUUUGGUUCAAUAAUUAAUUAUUUUGCUUAUAAUUACCAUUUUAUUGCAAGAAUCUUAAUUUUUGAACCUCAUUGUUUCAAUUGAUUUAGCAUAUUACGAUUGUCUUUAUUGGUUACAAUGUGUUCGAUCAUGAUUGAUUGUUUUCAAUUUUACAAUUGAAAUGAGCAUUGCAAAUGAAAGGAUUUACAUCUCAUUGGAAGUAAUUAACUUGAAUUGCGGGUCUAUUUAUUUUACAAGUUAUAUUAGUAAGUCAAUUAACUUUAUCGCUGAUGAUAAGAUGAGUAAAUCAUGAGACAGAUCAGAAAUUUUAUUUCUGUUCUGUCUAUUUCUCAUCAUAUAA